rnacentral:rRNA from 1 species
GACGAACCGUGCGAACGUUGUUCGGAAUCACUGGGCUUAAAGGGCGCGUAGGCGGCGGAUCAAGUCCGGGGUGAAAGCCCCCAGCUCAACUGGGGAAGUGCCUCGGAUACUGGUUCGCUCGAGGGAGGUAGGGGUCGCGGGAACUUCCGGGUGGAGCGGUGAAAUGCGUUGGAUAUCGGAAGGAACGCCGGUGGCGAAAGCGCGCGACUGGACCUCUUCUGACGCUGAGGCGCGAAAGCCAGGGGAGCGAACGGG